rnacentral:rRNA from 1 species
GAUGAACGCUAGCGGGAGGCCUAACACAUGCAAGCCGAGCGGUAUUUGUUCUUCGGAACAGAGAGAGCGGCGCACGGGUGCGGAACACGUGUGCAACCUGCCUUUAUCUGGGGGAUAGCCUUUCGAAAGGAAGAUUAAUACCCCAUAAUAUAUUGAGUGGCAUCACUUGAUAUUGAAAACUCCGGUGGAUAGAGAUGGGCACGCGCAAGAUUAGAUAGUUGGUGAGGUAACGGCUCACCAAGUCAAUGAUCUUUAGGGGGCCUGAGAGGGUGAUCCCCCACACUGGUACUGAGACACGGACCAGACUCCUGCGGGAGGCAGCAGUGAGGAAUAUUGGACAAUGGGUUAGCGCCUGAUCCAGCCAUCCCGCGUGAAGGACGACGGCCCUAUGGGUUGUAAACUUCUUUUGUAUAGGGAUAAACCUACUCUCGUGAGAGUAGCUGAAGGUACUAUACGAAUAAGCACCGGCUAACUCCGUG